UCGGCUGAGGGCUCGGCUGAGGGACCGGCUGCGGGACCGGCUCAGCGGGAAAACAGUACUUGGGGAGAGCAUUUCUCACCCCUGCCUAACUCUGCGCUUGCUUGGUGACAGAGCUGGAGCAUGUUUUCCAACAGAGAGCGAGAACUUAAUACAGAGAGCAGUGGUCUUGAAGUUCUUUCACCACUUUUCCCCACUAAAAUGCUGACAAGGUUGUGUAAGAAAGCACCAGUUAGAGGCUGAUCAUAAGGAUGUUACAGGUGGCCAGUGAACCCAGAGGACUCUGCAAACCAGGGAUUCCUUUUUGCCUCUGAUUGUGUUUGCCUCCCAGUCCCACGGAUGCAUCCUGCAGCUGUUCCUGUGCAGGGAGGGCUGGCAGCGAGGCUGCGGCUCCUGUGUGUACGAGCACAGCCCCGGGAUGCCCGCACCACAUCCACAUCCUCAGGUGCAAACACCCUGACUGCAGAUGACCAAACACAGUCGGACCCAGCAGAGCACGCGAGCCUUGCCUCUGAAGAGACCAACCCAGGAGAGCAGCUGCCAGGAGAGGAGGCUUCAGCCACCAUCCUGGACGUGGAGGGGAACACAGAGUCUGUCAAUAAAAGGGAGGAGCCAGAGGGCACCGAGCCCCUGCCUGCAGGAGAGGAGGAGAGCUCUGAGCUGCCCUCUGUGUGGCGAGAGGAGAGCAGGGGGCCUUCACCGCCAGCACCAGGAGAAGAUACUGGGGCACCAUCUCCAGGAGCAGCAGAGGACAGUGGGCUGGCAGAGGGCAGUGACAGCUCUGUAGUGGAAGUCAUCGAGAAAGUACAUAUUACUGAAGAGGACCACCUCACUGAGGGUGAGACGGGAGAACAGGUGGAAACUGAGCUGCUCAGUGAGACAGUAAGUGAAGGGCCUGAAACAAAAGAAGAAGAAACAGGAGAAGCUGUGGAUAGUGCAGCAGCGACAGAGAUAGAUGAUGGGACUGCACUGACACAGCUCAGAGAACAGCUGCAGGCAAGAGGAGGAAACAAUGCUGAGAAUGGAAUAGUGACCAUUUAAACCUGGGAUUCUGUUGUGUAAGGGAACAAUUCUUCUGUCUUGAAAGGAUAUUGAAGAAAUAAAGCAAGAUUCUGGGCAGGAAAGCAAGACUGCUUAAGGGAAUGGAAAAAUUCUUACUUUCAGAGACAUCAAAAACAUUCACAGCUUUGUCUCUAGGAAGGUAUGACUAAGAGGAUACAAGCUGAUCCUCAUUCAAAAAAAGUAUAGGUGUCUAAAGGUAGCUGAUGUCCACCCAAGGGAAUGCUCAGUGACAUGUUAAGUGUGUUGAAUUUGAAACUAUUAAAGAGAGUUGGCUUUUUUUCAUGUUACAUUAACAAUCGUCUUAGUCACAGAGAAUCGCUGCAGUUGGAUAUCUUUCAUUGGUCACCUGCAUUCCCACACAAAUUUCCCAGCUUUCCUGUGUUCCCUACCCACCCUCACAAAACACCACAAUUCAGUGUGAGGAAGUCCCACAUUCUCAUGUUCCCUACCCUUGAAGAGUCUUCUAGCUGGGGAA
rnacentral:lncRNA from 1 species